rnacentral:tRNA from 1 species
UAGUUGCUAUCCGAGGGGAAGGUUUGUCUUGAAAACAAAUUUUGAGUGUUCGACUCACUCAGUGACUUU